GUCGAAACUUAAUGUAUUUUGGAGAAUCUGACACGGCUGCAGCAUUAAAAGUAAAGAGUCAACGCAACUUAGUUUAAUCUGCUUUCAACCUUAACAGCUCCUUGGCAGUCCUCAUCCUAAAAUAUGGCAUGUCUCCCUGAUUAAAACAGAGUCCUAUAUCUCUGCUGUAGAAAUCCACAUUUUUUAUCAUAAACACACCGCAGUCGUACCCAUUCUUUUGCUCUGGAAGGUCCUCAACAAACUCUUCCAUCCACGAACUAACAUCAAUGUAUUUCCCACUCUUGUCCUUUACCUCAUCAACAAAGUAAGUAGCCAGCACUUUCAGCACAUUUCUAUCCUUUCCUC
rnacentral:misc_RNA from 1 species